GGAGAAUCAGGAGAAAGAGAAAUAUAUUUGGAUGGCAGGAGAUUUCAAUGACCAGCUAUGUAUUCAACAACUGAGUUGAAUUUCAUAGGUGUCAGUUGAAAUGCCUGCGAGGUUAUUUUUCUUCCCCCAGCCAGACUUUUGAGGCCCUUGAACAACAAGUAGAGAGGGUUGAACCUUUGGCAUGUAUAUUUACAGACCAUUAGAGACAUGAGACAAUCACAAUAAUUCCUGGAGGUAAAUCUCAUCCUCUCAUAGUCCAAAUCAACUUUACCCAGCAGCGUGGAUAUUCUAAACCCUUCUUCACCCAGCACUUUAUUGUUUCCCUAGCAACCUGACAACUGGGGAAGCAGGAUGGGGAGGCCACAGCAAACAAAAUGAAUUACAGCAGAGGUGUAUGGCUGGCGGAAAGGGCACAGUAGAAGGUGGAGGGACUUGAUGUUUCAAGCCAAGGAGAGCUCCUGUGCCCGAGACACUACAAAGCCCAGCACUAUCUCAUGAAGCUCCUGAGUCCUGAGAUGCAGCCAGAUUUUGUCCAUCACACAAUGGCCUGGCCGAGCCCAGGGACAUUGACCAGAAACCCGAGGCAAUGAGAUUGUCAGGAAGAGCCGGUGAACUCCUAGGACCCCUUGGCCCUGAGGAGUCUCUAUGGAACAGGAGGCCAGUCACAUCUGAAGGUUUGGAAGAUCCAUUAGGGAACAUUCACUUGGUCAUAUCGUCUUGGAGGUCUUUCCCAUAGCUUCUGACCGCACGGCUAUUUGCUCAUUGGUGGGAAAUUCUUGAUAGGACUAGAAAUGAAGUUUUGCC
rnacentral:lncRNA from 1 species